AGAAACAAUGGUUUGUAUUCUCUCCAUUUCUAGUUAUAUUAGGUUUUACAUUUGGAUCAAAGUGUAAAUUAAAAAAAAUUGUGGACUAUUCUUAAACUUACUCAACUUUCUUAAUCCAUAUUAAAGUAGUUGUCACCUACACUCAAUUAUUAUAACUUGAGCCACCUACACCUCAUUUUCAAACUCUUUUGUCACUUUUAACUAAAAAAUCCUAAUAAAUAGACCAGCACUUUGUGCCAUUACCGAAAAAAAUCACAAAAAUAAGCUAUGAAAUAUUUUUUCUUUUUAU
rnacentral:lncRNA from 1 species